AAAAAAACAAAAGAAAAGGAAAACAGUGGGCUUAAGUAUAUUCUGUGUCAGCUACAUAUAUAUCCUACCCCUAGAUGUUCUCACCCUUGCCAGAAUCAGCUAAGCUUAGGUUUUAGUGUGUUCCCCCUCGUAAGAAAUCAUAAAAAUCUUUUCCGCUGCAAGAAAACAUUCCAAACAUAAUUAUAUCUUGCUUGUUGGUUAAAUCUGAAUACGGAUAUAACUUGCUAUUGGUGCAUGGGUGCAGCAACUGGUGGCCAGACGCCUGUGGAUGCCACGCGCGCCGUCCCAUAUCGUGCGGUCCGGCCACCAAGGUUACCCUUGGUGCCUCCUUCUCCCCUUCACAAUGUUCACCCCAUGCCAUAUCGUCGUAGGUGCGAGAAGAACUAUUACCAUUGUCGACCCCCGGUCCCAUAGCUGCAGAGUAAAAUCGUAGGUGUACCACCAGUAAUGGCUGCAGCGGGUGCUACAUCCUCGCAUAUAUUUAGCGGCCGCAUCAUGAUGUCAUCUUCGGUUUGUUGUACGUGUACUGCGUACCUAAUGGUAAUUGGGAAUUUUAAAGA
rnacentral:lncRNA from 1 species